AUCAUUACACAAUAACCAGGCGGGCUGGACACCCCCCGCUGGGCACUGCUUCACGGCGUGCGCGGCGGGGCCGGCCCUGCUGAAUUAUUCACCCGUGUCUUUUGCGUACUUCUUGUUUCCUGGGUGGGCUCGCCCGCCCUCAGGACCAACCACAAACCUUUUGCAAUAGCAAUCAGCGUCAGUAACAACGUAAUUAAUUACAACUUUCAACAACGGAUCUCUUGGUUCUGGCAUCGAUGAAGAACGCAGCGAAAUGCGAUACGUAGUGUGAAUUGCAGAAUUCAGUGAAUCAUCGAAUCUUUGAACGCACAUUGCGCCCUUUGGUAUUCCAAAGGGCAUGCCUGUUCGAGCGUCAUUUGUACCCUCAAGCUUUGCUUGGUGUUGGGCGUCUUUUGUCUCCAGUUCGCUGGAGACUCGCCUUAAAGUCAUUGGCAGCCGGCCUACUGGUUUCGGAGCGCAGCACAAGUCGCGCUCUUUGCCAGCCAAGGUCAGCGUCCAGCAAGCCUUUUUUUCAACCUUGA
rnacentral:rRNA from 1 species